UAAUACCGGAUGUGCCGUUGGGUGAAAGGUUAACUGCCUGAAGAUGAGCUCGCGUCUGAUUAGCUAGUAGGUGUGGUAAGAGCGCACCUAGGCGACGAUCAGUAGCUGGUCUGAGAGGAUGAUCAGCCACACUGGGACUGAGACACGGCCCAGACUCCUACGGGAGGCAGCAGUGGGGAAUUUUCCGCAAUGGGCGAAAGCCUGACGGAGCAAUACCGCGUGAGGGAGGAAGGCUCUUGGGUCGUAAACCUCUUUUCUCAGGGAAGAACACAAUGACGGUACCUGAGGAAUAAGCAUCGGCUAACUCCGUGCCAGCAGCCGCGGUAAUACGGAGGAUGCAAGCGUUAUCCGGAAUGAUUGGGCGUAAAGCGUCCGCAGGUGGCUGUGUGUGUCUGCUGUUAAAGAGUGAGGCUCAACCUCAUAAGAGCAGUGGAAACUACACGGCUAGAGUGCGUUCGGGGCAGAGGGAAUUCCUGGUGUAGCGGUGAAAUGCGUAGAGAUCAGGAAGAACACCGGUGGCGAAAGCGCUCUGCUAG
rnacentral:rRNA from 1 species